rnacentral:snoRNA from 1 species
GUUCAAAACACAGUGAUGCAUUUUCCAAGCACAUAUCUAAUUGUUCUGGGUAGAAAAUGACUGUUGCUAUGUGAUUUUUGGAU